rnacentral:rRNA from 1 species
GGCGGGUCAACUUCACGCGUUAAGUUGGCCUGAGCCAUGAUCAAACUCAUGAAAGCAGGGGACCGCCAGGCCUUGCGCGAUUGGAGCGGCCGAUGUCGGAUUAGCUUGUUGGCGGGGUAAAAGCCCACCAAGGCGACGAUCCGUAGCUGGUUUGAGAGAACGACCAGCCACACUGGGACUGAGACACGGCCCAGACUCCUACGGGAGGCAGCAGUGGGGAAUUUUGGACAAUGGGGGCAACCCUGACCCAGCCAUGCCGCGUGUGUGAAGAAGGCCUUCGGGUUGUAAAGCACUUUCGGACGGAACGAAAUCGCGCGGGUGAAUAUCCCGCGUGGAUGACGGUACUGUAAGAAUAA